rnacentral:rRNA from 1 species
UACAGGGGGUGCAAACGUUGCUCGGAAUCAUUGGGCGUAAAGCGCGCGUAGGUGGCUUCGUAAGUCCGUUGUGAAAGUCAAAGGCUCAACCUUUGAAAGCCGAUGGAUACUGUGGAGCUAGAGUACGGAAGAGGCGAGUGGAAUUCCUGGUGUAGCGGUGGAAUGCGCAGAUAUCAGGAGGAACACCAAUAGCGAAGGCAGCUCGCUGGGACGUUACUGACACUGAGGCGCGAAAGCGUGGGGAGCGAACAGG